UACGUAGGGCGCAAGCGUUAUCCGGAAUUAUUGGGCGUAAAGAGCUCGUAGGCGGUUUGUCGCGUCUGCCGUGAAAGUCCGGGGCUCAACUCCGGAUCUGCGGUGGGUACGGGCAGACUAGAGUGAUGUAGGGGGAGACUGGAAUUCCUGGUGUAGCGGUGAAAUGCGCAGAUAUCAGGAGGAACACCGAUGGCGAAGGCAGGUCUCUGGGCAUUACCUGACGCUGAGGAGCGAAAGUGUGGGGAGCGAACAGG
rnacentral:rRNA from 1 species